rnacentral:rRNA from 1 species
CGCGCCCCGCGCCCGUCCCCCGCCCCCGCCCGCCUACGGGAGGCAGCAGUGGGGAAUUUUGGACAAUGGGGGCAACCCUGAUCCAGCAAUGCCGCGUGAGUGAAGAAGGCCUUCGGGUUGUAAAGCUCUUUUGUCAGGGAAGAAACGGCUGUGGCUAAUAUCCACGGCUAAUGACGGUACCCUGAAGAAUAAGCACCGGCUAACUACGUGCCAGCAGCCGCGGUAAUACGUAGGGUGCAAGCGUUAAUCGGAAUUACUGGGCGUAAAGCGUGCGCAGGCGGUUUUGUAAGUCUGACGUGAAAUCCCCGGGCUUAACCUGGGAAUUGCGUUGGAGACUGCAAGGCUAGAAUCUGGCAGAGGGGGGUAGAAUUCCACGUGUAGCAGUGAAAUGCGUAGAGAUGUGGAGGAACACCGAUGGCGAAGGCAGCCCCCUGGGUCAAGAUUGACGCUCAUGCACGAAAGCGUGGGGAGCAAACAGGAUUAGAUACCCUGGUAGUCCACGCCCUAAACGAUGUCUACUAGUUGUCGGGUCUUAAUUGACUUGGUAACGCAGCUAACGCGUGAAGUAGCCGCCUGGG